rnacentral:snRNA from 1 species
GGAUGUGAGGGCGAUCUGGCUGCGACAUCUGUCACCCCAUUUGAUCGCCAGGGUUGAUUCGGCUGAUCUGGCUGGCUAGGCGGGUGUCCCCUUCCUCCUCACCGCUCCAUGUGCGUCCCUCCCGAAGCUGCGCGCUCGGUCGAAGAGGACGACCAUCCCCGAUAGAGGAGGACCGUUCUUCGGUCAAGGGUAUACGAGUAGCUGCGCUCCCCUCUAGAACCUCCAAACAAGCUCUCAAAAUUGUUCUCAGUAUGAAAUUAUGUAUCUACCCCCAUAGAUACUCCUCAGGUAUAAAGCUGUGUCUAAUU